rnacentral:rRNA from 1 species
CCUACGAGGCUGCAGGGGGGAAGAUGGGGCAAGGGAGGAAACGCUGAACCAGCAACGCCGCGGGAAGGAUGAAGGUAUUCGGAUUGUAAAGAUCUUUUAUAAGGGAAGAAGAAAGUGACGGUACCUUAGGAAUAAGCCUCGGCUAACUACGUGCCAGCAGCCGCGGUAAUACGUAGGAGGCGAGCGUUAUCCGGAAUGACUGGGCGUAAAGGGUGCGUAGGUGGUUUGGCAAGUUAGUAGCGUAACUCCAAGGCUCAACCUUGGAACUACUACUAAAACUGUUGGACUUGAGGGCAGGAGGGGCAACCGGAAGUCCUAGUGUAGCGGUGGAAUGCGUAGAUAUUAGGAGGAACACCAGUGGCGAAGGCGGGUUGCUAGACUGUAACUGACACUGAGGCACGAAAGCGUGGGGAGCAAACAGGAUUAGAUACCCUUGUAGUC